rnacentral:rRNA from 1 species
UACGUAGGGGGCUAGCGUUGUCCGGAUUUAUUGGGCGUAAAGAGCGUGUAGGCGGCCAUGUAGGUCCGGUGUGAAAACUCGAGGCUUAACCUCGAGAUGUCAUCGGAAACCAUUUGGCUAGAGUCCGGAAGAGGAGAGUGGAAUUCCUGGUGUAGCGGUGAAAUGACGCAGAUAUCAGGAGGAACACCGAUGGCGAAGGCAGGUCUCUGGGCCGAUACUGACGCUGAGGAGCGAAAGCGUGGGGAGCGAACAGG